CAAUAGCGUAUAUUUAAGUUGCUGCAGUUAAAAAGCUCGUAGUUGGAUUUCGGGUGGGAAUGGCCGGUCCGCCGUUUCGGUGUGCACUUGCUACGCCCACCUUGCUGCCGGGGACGUGCUCUUGAGUUCACGCUCGGGACACGGAGUCGGCGAGGUUACUUUGAGUAAAUUAGAGUGUUCAAAGCAGGCCUACGCUCUGAAUACAUUAGCAUGGAAUAACACGAUAGGACUCUGGCCUAUCUUGUUGGUCUGUAGGACCGGAGUAAUGAUUAAGAGGGACAGUCGGGGGCAUUCGUAUUUCAUUGUCAGAGGUGAAAGUCUUGGAUUUAUGAAAGACGAACUACUGCGAAAGCAUUUGCCAAGGAUGUUUUCAUUAA
rnacentral:rRNA from 1 species